rnacentral:rRNA from 3 species
AAUCCAUAGGUUAAUGAGGCGAACCGGGGGAACUGAAACAUCUAAGUACCCCGAGGAAAAGAAAUCAACCGAGAUUCCCCCAGUAGCGGCGAGCGAACGGGGAGGAGCCCAGAGCCUGAAUCAGCAUGUGUGUUAGUGGAAGCGUCUGGAAAGGCGCGCGAUACAGGGUGACAGCCCCGUACACAAAAGCGCAUGUGCUGUGAGCUCGAUGAGUAGGGCGGGACACGUGGUAUCCUGUCUGAAUAUGGGGGGACCAUCCUCCAAGGCUAAAUACUCCUGACUGACCGAUAGUGAACCAGUACCGUGAGGGAAAGGCGAAAAGAACCCCGGCGAGGGGAGUGAAAAAGAACCUGAAACCGUGUACGUACAAGCAGUGGGAGCCCCACCACUAAGCCAGUGGUGAACUCCACAUACGCAUCCUUUGCUGAGGAUACGGUUAACGGAGCGAAAGCGACGUUCAACCGCAAAAGAAGCAGAGGGGGCUUAGUGGUGG